UACGUAGGGUGCAAGCGUUAAUCGGAAUUACUGGGCGUAAAGCGUGCGCAGGCGGUUUUGUAAGUCUGUCGUGAAAUCCCCGGGCUCAACCUGGGAAUUGCGAUGGAGACUGCAAGGCUAGAAUCUGGCAGAGGGGGGUAGAAUUCCACGUGUGAGCAGUGAAAUGCGUAGAGAUAGUGGGAGGAACACCGAUGGCGAAGGCAGCCCCCUGGGUCAAGAUUGACGCUCAUGCACGAAAGCUGGGAGCAACGAGAUAGAACCGUGUGAGAAUCCAUGACCCAAGUUCUACGUC
rnacentral:rRNA from 1 species